rnacentral:rRNA from 1 species
AAUCAACGCUGGCGGCGUGCCUCAGACAUGCAAGUCGAACGAUUAAAGCUCUCUUCGGAGAGUGCAUAGAGUGGCGCACGGGUGAGUAACACGUAAGUAAUCUACCUUCGAGUGGGGAAUAACGUCCGGAACGGACGCUAAUACCGCAUAAUGCAGCGGCAUCGCAAGAUGACAGUUGUUAAAGGAGCAAUUCGCUUGAAGAGGAGCUUGCGGCAGAUUAGCUAGUUGGUAAGGUAAUGGCUUACCAAGCUACGAUCUGUAACCGGUCUAAGAGGACGGUCGGUCACACUGACACUGAAUAACGGGUCAGACUCCUACGGGAGGCAGCAGUCGGGAAUUUUGGGUCAAUGGGCGAAAGCCUGACCCAGCAACGCCGCGUGAAGGAUGAAGUAUUUCGGUAUGUAAACUUCG